UAGGGAAUCUUCCACAAUGGACGCAAGUCUGAUGGAGCAACGCCGCGUGAGUGAAGAAGGUCUUCGGAUCGUAAAGCUCUGUUGUUGGUGAAGAAGGAUAGAGGCAGUAACUGGUCUUUAUUUGACGGUAAUCAACCAGAAAGUCAUGGCUAACUACGUGCCAGCAGCCGCGGUAAUACGUAGGUGGCAAGCGUUGUCCGGAUUUAUUGGGCGUAAAGCGAGCGCAGGCGGAAUGAUAAGUCUGAUGUGAAAGCCCACGGCUCAACCGUGGAACUGCAUCGGAAACUGUCAUUCUUGAGUGCAGAAGAGGAGAGUGGAACUCCAUGUGUAGCGGUGGAAUGCGUAGAUAUAUGGAAGAACACCAGUGGCGAAGGCGGCUCUCUGGUCUGCAACUGACGCUGAGGCUCGAAAGCAUGGGUAGCGAACAGGAUUAGAUACCCUGGUAGU
rnacentral:rRNA from 1 species